rnacentral:rRNA from 1 species
UACGUAGGCAGCAAGCGUUGUUCGGAGUUACUGGGCGUAAAGGGUGCGUAGGCGGCUUCUUAAGUUUGGUGUGAAAUCUCCCCGGCUCAACUGGGAGGGUGCGCCGAAUACUGAGGGGCUAGAGUGUGGGAGAGGAAAGUGGAAUUCCAGGUGUAGCGGUGAAAUGCGUAGAUAUCUGGAGGAACACCGGUGGUGUAAACGGCUUUCUGGACCAUUACUGACGCUGAUGCACGAAAGCGUGGGUAGCAAACAGG